CUACGGGGCGCUCCAGUGGGGAAUAUUGGACAAUGGGGGCAACCCUGAUCCAGCGAUGCCGCGUGGGUGAAGAAGGCCUUCGGGUUGUAAAGCCCUUUAGGUUGGGAAGAAGGAUGAUAGUUUAAGAGAUAAUCAUCUUGACGGUACCAACAGAAUAAGCACCGGCAAACUCUGUGCCAGCAGCCGCGGUAAUACAGAGGGUGCAAGCGUUAAUCGGAGUGACUGGGCGUAAAGGGCGCGUAGGCGGUUUUGUGAGUGUGAUGUGAAAGCCCCGGGCUUAACCUGGGAAGUGCAUCGCAAACGAAAGAACUGGAGUAGAUGAGAGGGUGGCGGAAUUUCCGGUGUAGCGGUGAAAUGCGUAGAGAUCGGAAGGAACGUCAAUGGCGAAGGCAGCCACCUGGCAUCAUACUGACGCUGAGGCGCGAAAGCGUGGGGAUCGAACAGGAUUAGAUACCCCAGUAGUC
rnacentral:rRNA from 1 species